GAUGAACGCUGGCGGCGUGCCUAAUACAUGCAAGUCGAACGCGCAGCGAAAGGUGCUUGCACCUUUCAAGCGAGUGGCGAACGGGUGAGUAACACGUGGAUAACCUGCCUCAAGGCUGGGGAUAACAUUUGGAAACAGAUGCUAAUACCGAAUAAAACUUAGUAUCGCAUGAUACAAAGUUAAAAGGCGCUACGGCGUCACCUAGAGAUGGAUCCGCGGUGCAUUAGUUAGUUGGUGGGGUAAAGGCUUACCAAGACGAUGAUGCAUAGCCGAGUUGAGAAACUGAUCGGCCACAUUGGGACUGAGACACGGCCCAAACUCCUACGGGAGGCUGCAGUAGGGAAUCUUCCACAAUGGGCGCAAGCCUGAUGGAGCAACGCCGCGUGUGUGAUGAAGGCUUUCGGGUCGUAAAGCACUGUUGUAAGGGAAGAAAUGCUAAAAUAGGGAAUGAUUUUAGUUUGACGGUACCAUACCAGAAAGGGACGGCUAAAUACGUGCCAGCCGCCGCGGUAA
rnacentral:rRNA from 1 species